CCUACGGGAGGCAGCAGUGGGGAAUAUUGCACAAUGGGGGAAACCCUGAUGCAGCGACGCCGCGUGAGUGAAGAAGUAUUUCGGGAUGUAAAGCUCUAUCAGCAGGGAAGAAGCAAGACGGUACCUGACUAAGAAGCCCCGACUAACUACGUGCAAGCAGCCGCGGUAAUACGUAGGGGGCAAGCGUUAGCCGGAUUUACUGGGGGUAAAGGGAGCGUAGAGGGUAUGGCAAGUCUGAAGUGGAAGCCAAGGGCUGAACCCUGGGACUGCUUUGGAAACUGUUAGACUAGAUUGCUGGAGAGGUAAGUGGAAUUCCUAGUGUAACCGUGGAAUGCGUAGAUAUUAGGAGGGACACCAGUGGCGAAGGCGGCUUACUGGACAGUAACUGACGUUGAGGCUCGGAAGCGUGGGGAGCAAACAGGGUUAGCUGCCCCUAGUAGUC
rnacentral:rRNA from 1 species